AGAGUAGAGAGAGCUCAGGUGGGGACAGGGGAGGCUGCUCCAGAAAUCCUGUGUGACGGCUCUCCCAGAAACUGCCUCUGUCUUUUCCCUUUCAUUACCUCUCUUCUCCGAGGGGCAGUUCCAGAAUGAGGUGCGCUUCCGGAAAUCCUAAGCAGCUGUCCUACUCUUCCACUCAGCUCUGGCUGCUGGAAAGACUCUGCCAAAGUGACUGGGCCAUUGGCAACAUCAUCUGGGCUAAAGGCCACCAGACACCUUUGUUACUGCCACCUCCACUGUCUGCUGCUUCUGUGAAUAUGCACGUGUGUGUGUGCGCGCGUGCGUGCAUGUGUGUGCGUGCGUGUGUGUGCACGUGUGUGUGUGUGUGCGUGCGUGUGUGUGUGCGUGUGUGUGCUGCUGUUCUCCCAAGGUCUUAAGAAACCAGGAGAACUGUUAGCUCUUCCCAAAGCCCAGGCUGGAAAUCACCUGGAGAUAACAGUCUGGGCACCGCGGAGGUCCCUACAGGAGUGUCCGUGAUGGAUGGAGGAGGCAGAGCCCAGGGAAGGGCCUGAAGCUCACCUGGGAAUUCCUGCUCCUCUGACCUGGACUUGGAAACUAGCCCAGAAUGGGCAGCCACCUGGCAGCCCAGGUGACACCACUGCUGUCCAGGGAUGAUAGCACUUUUCGCUGGGGUGCCUGGACUAUCUCUAGCGGCAAGAUGUUCUGUGGGCAUUGCGAGCAUCCCGCUGUCUCUCAGGCCUCCCGCGGGUGCCGUGGAUGUGGAGAGCGGCCGCGCCGCGGGUGUCCGUGCUGCCAGCUGUGACCAGGCCUCACUGUUCUUGUUUGGUCACAGGCUGGUGGGGGCGGAUUUCCUUUUAUUUUAUUUUUAUAUUGAGGAAAUGGAAGUAGAUGUAUUUUUAAAGAUUCUCCAGAAUUCCAGGAGCGAGGAGAACUAGCAUCAAGUCCCCCAAGAACUCCAAGGGACUUAUGGAGGUUGCGUGGCUCGAGCGUCCUGCAGAAUGUCCUGGUCUCAAGGGACCAGAUAAAGGGGCCCCUUUGAGAUACUCAGGGAAGUGAAUCCUCACUGGGGCCGGUGGGCAAACUCAAAGAGAACCACAGCUGUUGCUGCAUCCAAGGGCUCCGAGCAGAGCAUGAAGAAGUCUGUGGGCCCCCGGAGCCUGGGAAAAUGCAGGCAGACACGCAUCCUCAUACCCAGCGCUGUCCUGGGACCUGGGAGUUUCUUCUCAGCUUCCUCCACCUUCCAAUUUCUCAGUUGUUCUAGAAACAUAGCACUGACGUGAAAACUGCCAUGGAGAGAAAGCUGCCACUGUCCCCAGGCCUUCCAAACAGGCUUUCUGAAGGAUCCGAGUUGCCCUGCUCCUGCAAGCCAUCUGUGUGCCUGGCCUCCAUGCCAGCUGAAGGCCCGGACCUCCCCCAGGGGCAUCCAUUCCUCCCUCAGUCCCAUCAUCCUCACCUUCCCUGGGCCUGUCUGAUGAUGCCAUGACUCCCAGAGGCAGGGUCCACGCAGAUGAGCCCAGCCCAGCCCAGGCAGGCAGCUACUCAGUAGGAGGAUUGCCCUGGAGGAGCAGGCUGGAGUUGGCUAGCGUGGCUGGGCAGAGUCUGAGGGGUCUGGCUACAUGUUGUCAAGGCUGGGGGUCGGGGAGGGCAACAUGCAUGUCCACAGCAGCCCCCAGCAACAGUCUUUAG
rnacentral:lncRNA from 1 species